rnacentral:rRNA from 1 species
AAACAUGUCUCUUUGAUUAAUAGAUAUAAAGAGUUUAACCUGCCCAGUGAUGAUAAUUUAACGGCCGCAGUACUCUGACUGUGCAAAGGUAGCAUAAUAAUUUGCCUUAUAAUUGAUGGCUAGUAUGAACGGUUUGACGAAAGCAUUUCUGUCUCAAAUAUAUUUUCUAUAAUUUAUCUUUUAGGUUAAAAGACUUAAAUAAAACUAAAGGACGAGAAGACCCUAUCGAGCUUUAAAGAAAUUUUAAGAAAAGUCUAUUGUUAAUACUUAUUUUCUUAAAAGGUUUUUUGGUUGGGGCGACCUAGGAACAAAUAAAACUUCCUUAGAUAGAUAAUAAUACAAGGAUCCAAUGUUAUAUUGAUAGCUGGAAUUAGUUACCGUAGGGAUAACAGCGUUAUUUUUUCUGAAAGAUCUUAUUGAAGAAAAAGUUUGCGACCUCGAUGUUGGAUUGAAAUAACUUAAAGGUGCAGAAGCUUUUGCGAGUUAGUCUGUUCGACUAUAAAAAUUUCACAUGAU